UACGUAGGGUGCGAGCGUUAAUCGGAAUUACUGGGCGUAAAGCGUGCGCAGGCGGUUCGUGAUGUCUGAUGUGAAAGCCCCGGGCUCAACCUGGGAAUUGCAUUGGAAACUAGCGGGCUGGAGUGUGGCAGAGGGGGGUGGAAUUCCACGUGUAGCAGUGAAAUGCGUAGAGAUGUGGAGGAACACCGAUGGCGAAGGCAGCCCCCUGGGUCAAGAUUGACGCUCAUGCACGAAAGCGUGGGGAGCAAACAGG
rnacentral:rRNA from 1 species